CCUACGGGUGGCAGCAGUGAGGAAUAUUGGUCAAUGGGCUUACGCCUGAACCAGCCAAGUCGCGUGAGGGAAGACUGCCCUAUGGGUUGUAAACCUCUUUUGUCAGGGAGCAACGCCGGCUACGUGUAGCCGGACUGAGAGUACCUGAAGAAAAAGCAUCGGCUAACUCCGUGCCAGAAUCCGCGGUAAUACGGAGGAUGCGAGCGUUAUCCGGAUUUAUUGGGGUUAAAGGCUGCGUAGGCGGAAUGCCAAGUCAGCGGUAAAAUCGUGGGGCUCAACCUCGCGUCGCCGUUGAAACUGGCGAUCUUGAGUGAGCGAGAAGUAUGCGGAAUGCGGUGUGUAGCGGUGACAUGCAUAGAUAUCACGCAGAACUCCGAUUGCGAAGGCAGCAUACCGGCGCCCAACUGACGCUGAAGCACGAAAGCGUGGGUAUCGAACAGGAUUAGAUACCCUAGUAGUC
rnacentral:rRNA from 1 species